AUUGAACGCGGGCGGCAGGCCUAACACAUGCAAGUCGAACGGUAGCACAGAGAGCUUGCUCUCGGGUGACGAGUGGCGGACGGGUGAGUAAUGUCUGGGAAACUGCCCGAUGGAGGGGGAUAACUACUGGAAACGGUAACUAAUACCGCAUAACGUCGCAAGACCAAAGUGGGGGACCUUCGGGCCUCACACCAUCGGAUGUGCCCAGAUGGGAUUAGCUAGUAGGUGGGGUAAUGGCUCACCUAGGCGACGAUCCCUAGCUGGUCUGAGAGGAUGACCAGCCACACUGGAACGGAGACACGGUCCAGACUCCUACGGGAGGCAGCAGUGGGGAAUAUUGCACAAUGGGCGCAAGCCUGAUGCAGCCAUGCCGCGUGUAUGAAGAAGGCCUUCGGGUUGUAAAGUACUUUCAGCGGGGAGGAAGGCGGUGGAGUUAAUAACUUCACCGAUUGACGUUACCCGCAGAAGAAGCACCCGCUAACUCCGUGCCAGCCGCCGCAGUAA
rnacentral:rRNA from 1 species